rnacentral:rRNA from 1 species
GGUUAAGCGACUAAGCGUACACGGUGGAUGCCCUGGCAGUCAGAGGCGAUGAAGGACGUGCUAAUCUGCGAAAAGCGCCGGCGAGGUGAUAUGAACCCUUGACCCGGCGAUGUCCGAAUGGGGAAACCCAGUGUGAUUCGUCACACUAUCGUUAACUGAAUACAUAGGUUAACGAGGCGAACCGGGGGAACUGAAACAUCUAAGUACCCCGAGGAAAAGAAAUCAACCGAGAUUCCCCCAGUAGCGGCGAGCGAACGGGGAGCAGCCCAGAGUCUGAAUCAGCUUGUGUGUUAGUGGAAGCGUCUGGAAAGUCGCACGGUACAGGGUGACAGUCCCGUACACGAAAAUGCACAGGCUGUGAACUCGAAGAGUAGGGCGGGACACGUGGUAUCCUGUCUGAAUAUGGGGGGACCAUCCUCCAAGGCUAAAUACUCCUGACUGACCGAUAGUGAACCAGUACCGUGAGGGAAAGGCGAAAAGAACCCCGGCGAGGGGAGUGAAAAAGAACCUGAAACCGUGUACGUACAAGCAGUGGGAGCACCUUCGGGUGUGACUGCGUACCUUUUGUAUAAUGGGUCAGCGACUUAUAUUCUGUAGCAAGGUUAACCGUAUAGGGGAGCCGAAGGGAAACCGAGUCUUAACUGGGCGUUAAGUUGCAGGGUAUAGACCCGAAACCCGGUGAUCUAGCCAUGGGCAGGUUGAAGGUUGGGUAACACUAACUGGAGGACCGAACCGACUAAUGUUGAAAAAUUAGCGGAUGACUUGUGGCUGGGGGUGAAAGGCCAAUCAAACCGGGAGAUAGCUGGUUCUCCCCGAAAGCUAUUUAGGUAGCGCCUCGUGAACUCAUCUUCGGGGGUAGAGCACUGUUUCGGCUAGGGGGCCAUCCCGGCUUACCAACCCGAUGCAAACUACGAAUACCGAAGAAUGUUAUCACGGGAGACACACGGCGGGUGCUAACGUCCGUCGUGAAGAGGGAAACAACCCAGACCGCCAGCUAAGGUCCCAAAGUCAUGGUUAAGUGGGAAACGAUGUGGGAAGGCCCAGACAGCCAGGAUGUUGGCUUAGAAGCAGCCAUCAUUUAAAGAAAGCGUAAUAGCUCACUGGUCGAGUCGGCCUGCGCGGAAGAUGUAACGGGGCUAAACCAUGCACCGAAGCUGCGGCAGCGACACUAUGUGUUGUUGGGUAGGGGAGCGUUCUGUAAGCCGUUGAAGGUGGCCUGUGAGGGUUGCUGGAGGUAUCAGAAGUGCGAAUGCUGACAUAAGUAACGAUAAAGCGGGUGAAAAGCCCGCUCGCCGGAAGACCAAGGGUUCCUGUCCAACGUUAAUCGGGGCAGGGUGAGUCGACCCCUAAGGCGAGGCCGAAAGGCGUAGUCGAUGGGAAACAGGUUAAUAUUCCUGUACUUGGUGUUACUGCGAAGGGGGGACGGAGAAGGCUAUGUUAGCCGGGCGACGGUUGUCCCGGUUUAAGCAUGUAGGCGGAGGUUCCAGGUAAAUCCGGUACCUUUUUAACGCUGAGGUGUGAUGACGAGGCACUACGGUGCUGAAGUAACAAAUGCCCUGCUUCCAGGAAAAGCCUCUAAGCAUCAGGUAACACGAAAUCGUACCCCAAACCGACACAGGUGGUCAGGUAGAGAAUACCAAGGCGCUUGAGAGAACUCGGGUGAAGGAACUAGGCAAAAUGGUGCCGUAACUUCGGGAGAAGGCACGCUGAUAUGUAGGUGAAGCCCCUGCGGGUGGAGCUGAAAUCAGUCGAAGAUACCAGCUGGCUGCAACUGUUUAUUAAAAACACAGCACUGUGCAAACACGAAAGUGGACGUAUACGGUGUGACGCCUGCCCGGUGCCGGAAGGUUAAUUGAUGGGGUUAGCGGCAACGCGAAGCUCUUGAUCGAAGCCCCGGUAAACGGCGGCCGUAACUAUAACGGUCCUAAGGUAGCGAAAUUCCUUGUCGGGUAAGUUCCGACCUGCACGAAUGGCGUAAUGAUGGCCAGGCUGUCUCCACCCGAGACUCAGUGAAAUUGAACUCGCUGUGAAGAUGCAGUGUACCCGCGGCAAGACGGAAAGACCCCGUGAACCUUUACUAUAGCUUGACACUGAACACUGGUCCUUGAUGUGUAGGAUAGGUGGGAGGCUUUGAAGCGUGGACGCCAGUCUGCGUGGAGCCGCCCUUGAAAUACCACCCUUUAAUGGCUGGUGUUCUAACGUAGACCCGUAAUCCGGGUUGCGGACAGUGUCUGGUGGGUAGUUUGACUGGGGCGGUCUCCUCCCAAAGAGUAACGGAGGAGCACGAAGGUUAGCUAAUCCUGGUCGGACAUCAGGAGGUUAGUGCAAUGGCAUAAGCUAGCUUGACUGCGAGAGUGACGGCUCGAGCAGGUGCGAAAGCAGGUCAUAGUGAUCCGGUGGUUCUGAAUGGAAGGGCCAUCGCUCAACGGAUAAAAGGUACUCCGGGGAUAACAGGCUGAUACCGCCCAAGAGUUCAUAUCGACGGCGGUGUUUGGCACCUCGAUGUCGGCUCAUCACAUCCUGGGGCUGAAGUAGGUCCCAAGGGUAUGGCUGUUCGCCAUUUAAAGUGGUACGCGAGCUGGGUUUAGAACGUCGUGAGACAGUUCGGUCCCUAUCUGCCGUGGGCGCUGGAGAAUUGAGGGGGGCUGCUCCUAGUACGAGAGGACCGGAGUGGACGCAUCACUGGUGUUCGGGUUGUCAUGCCAAUGGCACUGCCCGGUAGCUAAAUGCGGAAGAGAUAAGUGCUGAAAGCAUCUAAGCACGAAACUUGCCCCGAGAUGAGUUCUCCCUGAGACUUUAAGUCUCCUGAAGGAACGUUGAAGACGACGACGUUGAUAGGUCGGGUGUGUAAGCGCAGCGAUGCGUUGAGCUAACCGAUACUAAUGAACCGUGAGGCUUAACCUU